ensembl:snRNA U7 U7 small nuclear RNA
GAAAAUUUGCUCUUUUAGUAUUUCUCCAGCAGGUUCCUUCAAGGAGACCCCC